UUACAGUUGGAAAAUUUGAUUGUAAGUGUUAAGAAACUAAAAAUAAAAAUUUAGUUGAGCGGAGCUCUACAGAAUUCCAGUAUAUGUAUAAAACUUUUACGGCGAGUAUAAUAUAGAAAAAUAAAAGUACGAAAGCUUUUUGCUUCUCUACUGUUUAAAGGACUCUCUCGCCUGUGUGUGCGCUUUGGGUCUUUAGAUAACACAAAAAACCACUAGAAAACAACAGCAACAACAACAACAAUUCAAAAUUGACUUCAUUGAAUGAAAAUAUUACAACAAAGACACAAAAAAAAAAAGAGCAACGUCAACAAAACCUUUAAUAGAGAACAAUAUUUAACAACGAAGUGUAUAAUAUACUCUGUCUCUCUUUCUCAAUCUAUAUAUUUACCGUUAUAUUGACUACCACCACCCUACACUACUCAAAUACAAACUCUAAACAAUUAUCAGUCACUCAGUCAGCGAACAACUAGCGAGAGCAGCAAGCAGCAUAUUUUAUCUUUAGCAACGUUUAUACGUAUUUGUCAUUGUCAUCGUCGUCAUAGUUGUUUCAACGAAGAACAACAACUACAACAACAACAAAAAGUUAAAAGAAAAAUUGGCCAACUUUAGCUAGUAUCGGAAUAUAGUAUCAGCAGGAUAAAGUAUCCCCCAAAAAAAAUCCUUUCAUUUGAGGAAUAACAGCAGUUUUUCAAAUACCUCCCCAAUCUAUCCUUCACACACAAACACACACAUUCAAUCUCAUUCUCUCGUUUUAAGUCAACUCUAAAGAAUAAAAAACAACAAAAAUUAACAUAACUAUUUAUAAAUAAAACAUAAUUUAUUUAACUCUUAAAAAUUCAAAACUAAAAAAUGGGCAAAAAAAGAUAAAAAGAAGGAAGAGUAAGUUGAUUUUUCAG